CCUACGGGAGGCAGCAGUGAGGAAUAUUGGUCAAUGGGCGCGAGCCUGAACCAGCCAAGUAGCGUGAAGGAUGACUGCCCUACGGGUUGUAAACUUCUUUUGUCGGGGAACAAAGGCGGAGACGCGUCUCCGGAUGAGUGUACCCGAAGAAAAAGCAUCGGCUAACUCCGUGCCAGCAGCCGCGGUAAUACGGAGGAUGCGAGCGUUAUCCGGAUUUAUUGGGUUUAAAGGGUGCGCAGGCGGGAGCUCAAGUCAGCGGGAAAAGGUCGGGGCUAAACCCCGGCCGGCCGUUGAAACUGGUUUUCUAGAGUUGGAGAGAAGUAUGCGGAAUUCGUGGUGUAGCGGUGAAAUGCAUAGAUAUCACGAAGAACUCCGAUUGCGAAGGCAGCAUACCGGCUCCAUACUGACGCUGAGGCACGAAAGCGUGGGGAUCGAACAGGAUUAGAUACCCUUGUAGUC
rnacentral:rRNA from 1 species